rnacentral:lncRNA from 1 species
CACAUGGCUGCAGUACAGGGUCCUGGAGGACCUCCCCAUUUGGAGUCCUCCUCUGAGGACUCAGGGAGAAGAUGAUCCAAUUUCCCAGUUGGAUAACUGGAUUUUCCUUCGGCCAAGUGUAUUAGGACCAGGACUUGGUUUGGAUUCUUUGCUUGAUUAAGGAAUUUAUGCAGAAAGGGAUUUCCUUACCAUUGGCUUCACUGAGAAUUCUUUGGAGCUGGUGAAAAAGGGGAUGGGAAUGGAAGGCCAGUUCAGGGAAGCAGCAUGGCCUAGUGGAAAGAUCAUGAGCCUAGAAUUCAGAGAAUCUGGACUCUAAUCCCAGCUCCGCCACUUGACUGCUGUGUGACCUAGAGCAAGUCACUUAUCUGUGAUCAGUUUAAUCAAAUAUAAAAUAGGGAUUCGAUGCCCAUUCUUCCUUAGACUUAUUUAGACUCUGAGCCCCAGAUGGAACAGGGACUGUGUCCAACUUGCCUUAGCUUGUACCUACCACAGUGCUUGGCACAUAGUAAGCACUUAGCUAAUACCACAAUUAGGAUUAUUAUCAUUAUUAUUAUUAUUACUCAUUUGGUGAAGUCUCAUCCCUGGCCCCUUAAUCCAUUUUUCUCUCUACCUCCACGAGUGCCCAAGGAUCAGGAACCCAGAGACAGAAUUUGGUCAAACCUGCCCAGGCCACUGCCUCACCAUCCCAAGAGCUACAGCAGUGCUGCUGUACUGGGUACCCUGAGCCUUGAGGACUCAAAAGCAGGCAAAUACCAGUGGUCAACCCAUCCCACUGACAAAAAGUCACUCAACAGAUAGAGGAAGGUGGAAGAGUUCACCCAGCACCAAAACCCACAGAUCCCUGAGAAUUGGAGAAGCAGCGUGGCUCAGUGGAAAGAGCAUGGGCUUUGGAGUCAGGGCUCAUGAGUUCGAAUCCCAGCUCUGCCACUUGUCGGCUGUGUGACUGUGGGCAAGUCACUUAACUUCUCUGGGCCUCAGUUCCCUCAUCUGUAAAAUGGGGAUGAAGACUGUGAGCCCCACGUGGAACAACCUGAUUCCCCUAUGUCUACCCCAGCGCUUAGAACAGUGCUCGGCACAUAGUAAGCGCUUAACAAAUACCAACAUUAUUAUUAUAAGUGGGAUUCCACUUAAUUAUUAGUCAUUUCAUUAUUAGCCAUCACCACCUAGGUGAUCAGAACAGACUGCUCUAACAUGGAGAGCUAUUUUUUAGCUAUUUUCUGCUGAUUGGUUGCAAUUCCAGUGAUCUGAUCUGUGCACAGGAUAAUACUAAUAAUAAUGAUGGUAUUUGUUAAGAGCUUACUAUGCGCAUAGCACUGUUCUAAGCUCUGGGGUAGAUGAUGUGAAUGGAAGAGAUAGUCAGAGGGGAUGCAGGAUCACACAAUUUGCCCAGGUUCUUGAAAGUGAACCCUGUGGGGCAACUGGCAUUUAACCGAAAUCCGGAGUAUAGAUUUCAAUUCAGGUCAUCAAAACUCCCACCUUCUUGAUAAAGCCCGCCAGCUUUCCUGACUUUCUCCAGAGGGCCCACCCUGAAGUCACAGAUAAUAAUAAUAAUAAUAAUAAUAAUAAUAAUAAUGGUAUUUGUAAGAGCUUACCACAUGUCAGGCACUGUGCUAAGCGCUGGGGUAGAUACAAGCAAAUCGGGUUGGACUCAGUCUCUGUCCUACGUGGGGUUCACAUCUCAAUCCCCAUUUUACAGAUUGGGUAACUGAAGCACAGAGAAGUCAAGUGAUUCGCCCAAGGUCACACAGCAGACAAGUCAUGGAGCCGGAAUUAGAACCCAUGACUUUUUGACUCCCAGGCACAUGCUCUGUUUGAACAAUAGAACAUGAUAGAGGUGUCUUCUCUAAGGAAGCAGAGUUGGCUUGCUUAACCUUGCAGGCAGGGCUUCUGUUUUGGGUGCUCUGGUCCCUCUGUUAGUAGAAAUGUUUUCUAUAGGAAAAACAGCUUCUCAGAACCCAAACCCAUUAGAUCCAACUCCCAAGUUUACCAGUUACACCAAGUUCUUCUAUAAUGUGGGAGGCAAGUUCUUACAAAACCCCACAUUAUUCCUUAUUUGUAAAAUGGAGAUAAAAUGCCUCUUCUCCCUCCCUUUUAAAAAUAUGAAUCCCGUGUGGGAUAGAAGACUGUGGAGGAUCUGAUUACCUUAUACCUAGCCCUGUGGUUUAGCACAGGGAUUGGCACAUGGUAACCAGGUGAUAAAUACCGUCAUUAUCACUGCUGCAUUUCCUCCAAAAUUCCCCCUUCUCCCAGUUGAGCAGCCUCGAGGGGCAAACUGAGAAAGGCCGGCAGGGAACCUGAGCUCAGAGAGGCUGGAACCUUGAAAAGUAAAGCCUGGGCCAGCUCCUGCUUCAUUCUUUCUUCUCCUCCUGAGAGUCCUUGUCUCUCCUGCUCUUUCUUUUAUCUCCAACUCCUUCUCCAAAACGGGGAUGGUAGACUACCCCUUGCGAGUGCCACUAGAGAGGAGAGCUGUGAACUUUACGUGCUUCCGACUGAGGCAUGAGAAUGUCAAAUCUGCCGAGAAGCAGGCCAAACGGUUCAAGUGAAAAGCUGCCAGAGGUGCUUAGGCUGAGAGGAGGGGGUAAAAGGAUGUGGAGAGGAGGGAGGGAACCUCUGAGAAAGCAUGUAGGAACAGCCCCAGAUAUUUCUCGUUCUGUAAAACACUGGAAAUUGCAGCCCAGUGUCGUUUUCCCAGGUGAUUUACUAAACUCUUAAAUCCAGGGGUUCAAACAGAUCUUCACAACAAUUCAGCUACUGAGCCUUCAUUUGAUGCCAUCUCCUUCCAACUCCUUCCAAUUAUCCCAGCAUCAAGAGAAUUACGAGGGGCCCCUCAACCAGACAGCUAUAAAAGAGCUGACCCAGCCUCUCGUAUUAUAUUUGUAUAAUAUACAUAUAAAUAUAUCUGUUAUGUAUAUUUAUAUAUGUGUUUAUAAUAACACCUUUGCAGUCCCAGAGAUCCUUUCUCUGGGGAGCUCAAGGCAUUUUACAGAGAUCAUCUUACUUAUCCUCAUAAUAUCCCUCUACAGGAGCUAGAAGGAAAUCAUCUGUAUCCCAUUUGACAGAUGAGGAAACUAAGGCUCGGGGUUGCCCAAGGUCACUAAGUUGUAAAGAACGUCCGAAGAACAUCCACCUCCUCCUCAUCAUCAUCAGUACUGACUAAGCAAUUACGGAGUGCAGAGGAUUGUAUGAAGUGCUUGGAAAUAUACACUAAAAGUAAGAGACCCAGCUCCUCCCUUCAAAGAGCUACUGCCUCCCAGGUCUUCCUUGUUUCUUGCUGGAGUCAUGUCUUGGGCUCUGCCAGGAGUGGGUGCAGGGAGUGGAGAGGGAAUGGAGAAAGGAAGUAGCAGCAUGGUCUAGUGGAAAAAACACAGGCCUUGGGGUUAGAGGACCUGGGCUCUUAUCCCAGCUCUGCCACUUGCCUUCUGGGUGACUUUGGGUAAAUCACUUAACUUCUCUGAGCCUCAGUUUCCUCAUUCCUAAAAGGGGGAUUCAAUAGCAAUUUCCCUUCCUUUUUAGACCAUGAGCCCUAUGGAAAACAGGAAUUGCUGCCAACGUAAUGAUUUUGAACCUAUCCCAGUGCUUGGUACAUCACUUUGUAAAUAGCAAGCGCUUUUUUAAAAUGGGUAUUCAUUCAUUCAAUAGUAUUUAUUGAGCGCUUACUAUGUGCAGAGCACUGUACUAAGCGCUUGGAAUGAACAAGUCGGCAACAGAUUCGCUAAGUGCCUACUAAGUUCCAGGCACUGAAAUAAGCACUGGGAUAGAUAGAUACAAGAUAACCUGGUUGGAUACAGUCCAAUAAU